AUGUUAAAACCUAUAUUUUACAUCGAACCAUUUAGACAAUCGAUGUUAAAUAUUAUAUUUAUUUUGAAAAAAAAUAGAAUUAACCCCUAUUUCACAUCACACUUAACUAGUAAAUGUGAUUCUUACUUUGCUAUUCGUAGGAAAUUGAUCAACCUUUACAUACACAUAAAGAGCCAGCUUACAGUACUUGUCGGAUCGUCGACAAGUACUCUAAAUCAGAUUACAGUACUUAUCAACGAUCCACCAGACGUGUACUGCACAUGUUUAUUGAUAGAAACAAUGACAAUAAUUUACAGUUACCAGAACAAUUAA